UUGAACGCUGGCGGCAUGCUUUACACAUGCAAGUCGAACGGCAGCGGGGGCUUCGGCCUGCCGGCGAGUGGCGAACGGGUGAGUAAUGCAUCGGAACGUACCCAGUCGUGGGGGAUAACUACGCGAAAGCGUAGCUAAUACCGCAUACGCCCUGAGGGGGAAAGCGGGGGACCUUCGGGCCUCGCGCGAUUGGAGCGGCUGAUGUCGGAUUAGCUAGUUGGUGGGAUAAAAGCUUACCAAGCCGACGAUCUGUAGCUGGUCUGAGAGGACGACCAGCCACACUGGGACUGAGACACGGCCCAGACUCCUACGGGAGGCAGCAGUGGGGAAUUUUGGACAAUGGGCGAAAGCCUGAUCCAGCCAUGCCGCGUGCAGGAUGAAGGCCUUCGGGUUGUAAACUGCUUUUGUACGGAACGAAACGGUGGCUACUAAUACUAGCUACUAAUGACGGUACCUGAAGAAGAAGCACCGGCUAACUACGU
rnacentral:rRNA from 1 species